GUUUUCACAUUUUGUGACCUUUGAACUCCCCUCUCAGACUCGUCCCUUUCUUCUUUGCGAAUGGGCGGCGACGGUGGUGGAGAUCCCCUCAUCUACGAUUAGAUUUCGACCUGUCUCUCGCCGUAAACGGCCACGACGGAACCAAAACAAUUCUCAUCUCCGAUUCAAAACCUCCCCUUUCCGAUUUGAACUUCUGUCUCACUCUCACCUCCGAUCUGACUCAUUUCUCCGUUCAUCUCCGCCAUUGAAGAAUAAAGACGCAAAAACUCGGACGUAAUAUGCUCAUAAUAUCGCACAGAUGAUAAUGAUUGAAAACGCAAACGAAUUCAAGGCAUACCUGGAAAGAAGAUCGCAAGCGAAAGAAUAGAAGAGGUUCCAGAUGCUCAGGUACGAAUUGUCUUGAUCCCGUUCGCAAUUUCUUUUUCUUCUUCUUCUACAAUCUUCCUUCUCGGUUUGUUCCUUUGCACGCGUUGAGAUUAGAGUAAAGUGUUGAGAAUCAAUGAGGCUUGAAGGAUUGAGAGUUGCAGAGAGAUAGAAGCAUGAGAUUGAUGAUUGAAGGUGUGAUGGAGGUUUUGCUCGACUGAAGGAGUCUCAGAGGUUGAAACUCCAACAAUGGUGAUGAUGAGCUUUGGUGGAGGCGAGGGAGAGAGAGAUUGAGAGGUGAGGGAUGAAGAGUGAUAGGUUGAAGGUUAUGGUGUAUGAAUGAGUGGAUUCUGGUGGAGGCGAGGGAGAGAGAGAUUGAGAGGUGAGGGAUGAAGAGUGAUAGGUUGAAGGUUAUGGUGUAUGAAUGAGUGGAUUCUGGUGGAGAAUGAGCGUGUGUAUGAUGAAUGUUAAGAGAUAGGAGAAUGGGAGUGAAGUUGAAGAUGGAGUGGUGAAGAUGAUGAAUCUCAUGGUUGAUAGCUCAGUGACCUAUAACCCUCACCAAAUGCCUAUGCCUCAAGUAAGGUUUGUGAUUGUACUGCUGCAGGCUUUUGGAUAUGUAUAAGCAUGGUACUAGAAGUUAGUGAACAAAAUGAUGGAUGGGUGAAGACGAGGACGCUUGAGUAAUACUGAGUCAACAUGCCUGCUUCCAAUUUGAACUGCUCGAAUGAAUUCCGCCUUGGAUGUUAGGGCUGGUGGUUGUAAGGUGAUAUUGUUUGAAUUCGGUUGUGUAUGCUCCAGGUAGACGGUUUCGAGGGGUGAUGUAGCUGCUGAAUGUAUAUGAGAAUAUGGUACUGACUGGUGGAUGGGGUUUUAUUAUAGGGUGAAGUUUGUAUGGUUUGAACGAAGCAUGGCUCGAAGACUUGAAUCAUGACUAUGGUGCACUGAUGGAGAGUGUAUAGGGAUGACUUGAAGAAUUGAACACUUGCAGGAGGGUAGGUUCUUAGGGAGUCAGUAGGAGUCUAGGUAGAAUUCAAGGACACUGAUGAAAUUUUUUGUAAUUUUCUUUGUAGUGACUCCUAGCAUGAUGUAUUACCUCUUAGUGUUUUGUGGAGGUGGACGAUGUAAUUGAAUACAGUAGCAAAUAUUUGUUUUUUUUUUUAGGAUAGAAUAAUGACUUUAUGUAAUGUGAUCCCCUUUUUUAACAGCUUGUAGUGGCUGAUCCUGAACUUGACCUUUGUAUUUCAAAUGAUUGGAAAGGAAUGAUUUUACUCCUUUGUUAAA